UCUCAUUGUACCACUGCAAACAGAAGCUGCAUCCCUGCAUGGGAAGCAUUAGGUCGCCUCCCAGGCAGGAGCAAACAUUUAGUGGGAAGGACUAGGAGGCUGGCUGCUUGCUCUUCUCUUUCAGAAGUGACAUCUCCACCCUGCUUGUCCCACGUCUCCAGAAAGGUGGUUCCAGGACUCCCAGAGGCCCAUGGACUGGAGCUGUUAAUGUCCUGCAGAUGGGAGCCACUCUCUCACUGUGAUCACCAAGGUACCCAGGGCCUCCGGAGGCCACAAAGAAUGGGUGCCCUGGAAACGAACACCGGCAUGAUUUUGAAUGUGCACACGCCAGGGCUCACAACUGCAGGGGCUUCUGGGGCAACCAGCCCAGGUCUUUUGGGUUCCUUUUCUCUCCUUCUGCUAAACACACGAAGAGGGGCUGGAAGCAUACAGGGUGGGUUUUGGGUGUGUGUGGUGAUUUUGUGGGGUGACCACUUUUAAAGACCUUUCUGCUCCUGUAGGAAAAGCUGACAAAGAGAAUGUGGUUGUCAGUCGUUUUUCAGAGAUCAAUGUUCCCUCACGCGGCAGGGGCCAAUCCACACCCAUAUUUUUAAUGGUCUGACCCAAUGUAAAUCUCCCAGUUACAAAGA